GAUGAACGCUGGCGGCGUGCCUAAUACAUGCAAGUCGAGCGAACAGACGAGGAGCUUGCUCCUCUGACGUUAGCGGCGGACGGGUGAGUAACACGUGGAUAACCUACCUAUAAGACUGGGAUAACUUCGGGAAACCGGAGCUAAUACCGGAUAAUAUAUUGAACCGCAUGGUUCAAUAGUGAAAGGCGGCUUUGCUGUCACUUAUAGAUGGAUCCGCGCCGCAUUAGCUAGUUGGUAAGGUAACGGCUUACCAAGGCAACGAUGCGUAGCCGACCUGAGAGGGUGAUCGGCCACACUGGAACUGAGACACGGUCCAGACUCCUACGGGAGGCAGCAGUAGGGAAUCUUCCGCAAUGGGCGAAAGCCUGACGGAGCAACGCCGCGUGAGUGAUGAAGGUCUUCGGAUCGUAAAACUCUGUUAUUAGGGAAGAACAAAUGUGUAAGUAACUAUGCACGUCUUGACGGUACCUAAUCAGAAAGCCACGGCUAACUACGUG
rnacentral:rRNA from 1 species